rnacentral:rRNA from 1 species
GCGGCGGACGGGUUAGUAACGCGUGGGAACAUACCCUUUUCUAAGGAAUAGCCUCGGGAAACUGAGAGUAAUACCUUAUACGCCCUUCGGGGGAAAGAUUUAUCGGAGAAGGAUUGGCCCGCGUUAGAUUAGAUAGUUGGUGGGGUAAUGGCCUACCAAGUCUACGAUCUAUAGCUGGUUUUAGAGGAUGAUCAGCAACACUGGGACUGAGACACGGCCCAGACUCCUACGGGAGGCAGCAGUGGGGAAUCUUGGACAAUGGGCGCAAGCCUGAUCCAGCCAUGCCGCGUGAGUGAUGAAGGCCUUAGGGUCGUAAAGCUCUUUCGCCAGGGAUGAUAAUGACAGUACCUGGUAAAGAAACCCCGGCUAACUCCGUGCCAGCAGCCGCGGUAAUACGGAGGGGGUUAGCGGUGUUCGGAAUUACUGGG